rnacentral:lncRNA from 1 species
GUGGAUGCGCGGGUGGGCAGACACAGGCAUGGAAGGGCGGCCAAGGCAGGAGACCGCAGCCGGAGGGGAGUUAUUUCACAAAGAAGUGAUAAUGCUCCAUGCCAGCAGCCCUUAGCAUGUCCAGCACCAGCUGCAGAGGUCGAGAGCUUUCACAGGCAGCGAAGGAGGAGAGCAGCAGGCCCAUGCAAAUCCACCCCAGUCUCCCGCCACGUCCUUCAUGCCAUCGGGAGUGUGGAGGUGAGAAAUGCUCCCAAGAAGUUGGAGGAGAAUCCCUGGCCUCCCCGGAGCUGGCUGGGAUGAGGAAGCAGUGCACGGACCAUCACUAAGAGAGAUGGAGGCACUGAAGGAGGUCUUCAAGGAGUGUUUCAUUGAGCUGAUUUUCUUGCAACAACUUCCAGGGAAGAUGAUGGAUUUCUUAGCUUCUAAGAAGGAACAUUAUGACUCCAUCACAGCUCAUCUUAGAAUGAUUUGGACCUUAAGGAAGAGGGGGAGGAGGAGCAGUCUGAAGUUAUUAGCAAUGAGGUGAAAACUCUCAUGUUUAAUUACUUGUCAUGGAAAUGGAUAUCAUGGCUUAUACCACCACAAGUCAAAUUCAGAGUUGCAUCAUCUUAGAGCAGGUGUUCUAGACAUUUUACUUUUACACCAAAACACUGUUAUAGUGACUUGACAGCUGUCUCAGAGAUGUGCUGAGGCCCUCCCCAUUCAUGAAGGCUGGUUUGGGGACCCUGCACAUAGCUGAGUCUGCUAGCAUCUACCCGUAAGCUGCUUGCCCUUCCUUCUAACUGUCCCUCCAGGCCUUCCCAUUGCUUUUCCAGGCUGUGCUGCUCAGAGUGGUGGUGCCCACAGCCCCCCUGCCAUGCCCAGUGGGCAGGACUGGCCAGUAUCUGAAGCUGAGAAUCCUGAACAUGCACAUCUUGGUGUUAGAGUCUCUGUGUAAGUUACAGGUCUAACUUAGAUCAAAAUACGUAAGGCACAAUUGACAGAAUUUAAGGAGGAAAUUCCAAAAUCCACAAUUAUAUGAUGAGAUUUUAACAUUUCUCUCAGAAAACAACAAAUCAGGAAAUAACAUAGUUACAAGGAUAUAGAACAUGUGAAGAACACAAAGUAACAACAUAAAUUAUCCUGUUUGACUACAUAUGUAUAGAAAUAUGUACAUAUGUAUGUGUGUGUGUAAAAACUUUCACUCAACAAAGUGAAAUAAUUCUUUUAAAGGAUACAUGGAAAUUUUUUGUAUAUCAACCCCAAAGGAAACUUCAAUAAGAUUUUAAACAUCAACCCCAUAUGGACUAUUCUUUGCGUUCAAUGAAUAAAAUUAGAAAUCAAUUAUUAUUAUCAAAUUAUGUUUGGAAACUAAGAAAAUUACUUCUGAUGAAUUCAUGGGUUGAAGAGAAUAUCCUCAUGGAAAUCAUGGAAUAUUCUGAAGUAGAUGACAGCAGGAGUGCUGCAUCCUCCAGACCUUGUGGGAGAAGCUGAGGGUCCACUCAGAAAGUCAAUUAUGUGAGAAACAAGAAACAUGGAAGAUGAACGUUCUGAAAGCUUUGAUGGUCAGACUCAUACACUAUUCACAAUAGCCAAGACAUGGAAGCAACCCAAGGGCCCAUCAACCGAUGAUUGGAUAAAGAAGAUGUGGUAUACAUAUGCAAUGGAAUACUACUCAGCCAUAAAAAAGACAAAAUCAUCCCAUUUGCAACAACAUGGUUGGACCUGGAGGGACUUAUGCUAAGUGAAAUAGGCCAGACUGAGAAAGAAAAACACCAGAUGAUUUCACUCAUAUGUGGAAUAUGGACAAACACAUGGACAAAGAAAACAGUGGGUUGCUGCCACAACAUGGCUAAUGAGUGGUGUAGGUCCAUGCCUGGGAGCUGAACCUGUGAACCCAAGCCACUGAAGCAAGGCACGCUGAGCUUAACUGCUACACCAUGGAGCCAGCCCCUAACCCCUGGCUCCCGCCAUGCUGCUUUCUGUCUCUAUCAGUUGGACGACUCUAGGGACCUCCUGUAAGUGACAUCCUACAAUAUUUGUCCUUUUGUGUCUGGCUUACUUCAUUUAGCACAGUGUCCUCCAGGUUCACCCUGUUGCAGUGUGUGUCAGAUUUCCUUCCUUUUUAAGGCUGAAUAACAUCCAUAUUUGUAUACACGCUAUUUGAUUCAUCCACUCAUAUACCCGUGGACACUUGGGAAGUAACGCAGCUUGGGGAGCAGUGAAGUCCUUCAGUGUCU